CUGUGAAUGGUACUUUGACAGACAGAUACACACCAGGCCAGCCAUUGUUUAAAGCUAAUGAUAUAUAUACUUUAACGUCUGGAUAUGAUGCUGUUGGUGCAUAUUCUUAUUGCUGCGCCCUCGGGAAAAAGUUGUGGGAACCAACUCAACCAGAAUUCGCUCAACUUGUUAGUUAUCACGCAAAUGACCAAUUCAUUGGAAUCUUGCUUGGAGAGUCUCAGGGCGUGAACUCGACCCAUGAAGCUUGGUGUGAAAGCGGGCGAUUAUUGUCCAGUGAUAUGUACUAUACGUAUUACACUGGUGGGACCUCAUUAUUUUACGAAAACUCAUUGAGCUGCGAAAAAACUAUGUUCUAUAAAUUUAAUGCUGCGUCAUUAACUACGGUUUCACAUUUCUCAUUAUGGCCGGCUAACGCGCCUAAAUUUUGGUUCACUUCUUUCAU